rnacentral:rRNA from 1 species
CGCAUCUGUGCAUGCAGCAUAUCAAUAAGCGGAGGAAAAGAAACUAACAAGGAUUCCCUUAGUAACGGCGAGUGAAGCGGGAAGAGCUCAAAUUUGAAAUCUUCAAGGUUUUACCUUGACGAAUUGUAGUUUAAAGAAGUGUUCUCUGUUGAAGUUUUGGUAAAAGUUCUUUGGAAUAGGACAUCAUAGAGGGUGAGAAUCCCGUAUUUGACCAUUAUUUUCAGCUGUGUGAUACACUUUCAAAGAGUCGGAUUGUUUGGGAAUGCAGUCCAAAAUGGGUGGUAAAUUUCAUCUAAAGCUAAAUAUUGGCGAGAGACCGAUAGCGAACAAGUACCGUGAGGGAAAGAUGAAAAGAACUUUGAAAAGAGAGUUAAACAGUACGUGAAAUUGUCAAAAGGGAAGCGUUUGACACCAGUGUUGUUUUCUCGAAAAUCAAUUAAAAAGAGUUUGAUUUUGUGUUGUAUUGACCUUAACAGCUUGCAUUUCACUCUUUUCCUAGCUUUUUUUAAUGCACUUUUCGUUUAACAAGUCAACAUCAGUUUCUUUUGUUGUAAAAAGGGUCAUUGGAAGGUGGCUUUCUUUUCGGAGAAAGUGUUUAUAGCCUUUGACUCCCGCAAUCGGAGAGACUGAGGUCUGCAGCGUAGAUCCUUCGGGGUUAGAUACAUUUGUGCUAAGUUAUCAGCUUUUUAUAGACAACUUGUUGACUAUGAUUAGUCUUGUAGCUUACUCGCUUAUGCUAUUUUACCUACGCUUAGGAUGUUGACGCGCGUGUGUGCGUG